CAAAGUUAAUAAGGGCGCACGGUGGAUGCCUUGGCAUUAAGAGCCGAAGAAGGACGUGACUAACGACGAUAUUCUAGGGGGAGCAGUAAGUACGCAUUGAUCCCUAGGUCUCCGAAUGGGGAAACCCACUAUGUUAUGCAUAGUAUCCGUAAGUGAAUACAUAGCUUACGCGAAGGUAACGCAGAGAACUGAAACAUCUAAGUACCUGCAGGAAGAGAAAGUAAAAACGAUUUCCUAAGUAGCGGCGAGCGAACGGGAAACAGGCCAAACCAAGAAGCUUGCUUCUUGGGGUUGUAGGACUGCAACGUGGACUUAAAGUCUAUAGAAGAAUUACCUGGGAAGGUAAGCCAAAGAGAGUAAUAGCCUCGUAUUUGAAAUAGACUUUAUACCUAGCAGUAUCCUGAGUAGGGCUGGACACGCGAAAUCCAGUUUGAAUCCGGGAGGACCAUCUCCCAAGCCUAAAUACUCCUUAAUGACCGAUAGUGAACCAGUACCGUGAGGGAAAGGUGAAAAGAACCCCGGGAGGGGAGUGAAAUAGCACCUGAAACCGUGUGCCUACAAGAAGUUCGAGCCCGUCAAUGGGUGAGAGCGUGCCUUUUUGAGAAUGAACCGGCGAGUUACGUUAUGAUGCGAGGUUAAGCUGAAGAGGCGGAGCCGUAGCGAAAGCGAGUCUGAAUAGGGCGCUUUAGUAUCAUGAUGUAGACCCGAAACCUAGUGACCUAUCCAUGAGCAGGUUGAAGGUGCGGUAAGACGCACUGGAGGACCGAACCAGGACACGUUGAAAAGUGUUUGGAUGACUUGUGGAUAGCGGAGAAAUUCCAAACGAACUGGGAGAUAGCUGGUUCUCUCCGAAAUAGCUUUAGGGCUAGCGUCGCAAUUUAAGUGUAUUGGAGGUAGAGCACUGUUUGGAUGAGGGGCCCAUCUCGGGUUACCAAUUUCAGAUAAACUCCGAAUGCUAAUACACAUGUGCGGCAGUCAGACUGCGAGUGCUAAGAUCCGUAGUCGAAAGGGAAACAGCCCAGACCACCAGCUAAGGUCCCAAAAUAUAUGUUAAGUGGAAAAGGAUGUGGGGUUGCACAGACAACUAGGAAGUUAGCUCAGAAGCAGCUAUCAUUCAAAGAGUGCGUAAUAGCUCACUAGUCGAGUGACCCUGCGCCGAAAAUGUACCGGGGCUAAACAUAUUACCGAAGCUGUGGAUUUAAUAUUAAUUAAAUGGUAGGAGAGCGUUGUAAUCAGCGAUGAAGGUAUACCGUGAGGGGUGCUGGAGCGAUUACAAGUGAGAAUGCCGGUAUGAGUAGCGCAAGAUAAGUGAGAAUCUUAUCCACCGUAAGACUAAGGUUUCCAGGGGAAGGCUCGUCCGCCCUGGGUUAGUCGGGACCUAAGGCGAGGCCGAAAGGCGUAGUCGAUGGACAACAGGUUGAUAUUCCUGUACUAGUAUUGUUAGUGAUGGAGGGACGCAGUAGGCUAAAGGGAGCCAGUUAAUGGAUUCUGGUCUAAGCAGUGAGGUGUGGAAUGUGUCAAAUGCAUUUUCCUUUAACAUUGAGCUGUGAUGGGGAAGCAACUACGGUUGCGAAGCCCUUGAUGUCACACUGCCAAGAAAAUCUUCUAGCGUUUAAUUCAAUACUACCCGUACCGCAAACCGACACAGGUAGUCGAGGCGAGUAGCCUCAGGUGAUCGAGAGAACUCUCGUUAAGGAACUCGGCAAAAUGACCCCGUAACUUCGGGAGAAGGGGUGCUGUAGAAAUACAGCCGCAGUGAAAAGAUCCAAGCAACUGUUUAUCAAAAACACAGCUCUCUGCUAAACCGCAAGGUGAUGUAUAGGGGGUGACGCCUGCCCGGUGCUGGAAGGUUAAGAGGAGGGGUUAGACAUUAGUCGAAGCUCUGAAUUGAAGCCCCAGUAAACGGCGGCCGUAACUAUAACGGUCCUAAGGUAGCGAAAUUCCUUGUCGGGUAAGUUCCGACCCGCACGAAAGGCGUAAUGAUUUGGAUACUGUCUCAACGAGAGACUCGGUGAAAUUUUAGUACCUGUGAAGAUGCAGGUUACCCGCGACAGGACGGAAAGACCCCAUGGAGCUUUACUGCAGAUUGAUAUUGAGUACCUGUGAAGCAUGUACAGGAUAGGUAGGAGACUUUGACCUUGGGACGCUAGUUUCAAGUGAGUCGCUGUUGGGAUACUACCCUUGCUUCAUGGUUGCUCUAACCCACACGCAUAAUCGGCGUGGGAGACAGUGUCUGUCGGGCAGUUUGACUGGGGCGGUCGCCUCCUAAAGAGUAACGGAGGCGCCCAAAGGUUCCCUCAACAUGGUUGGAAAUCAUGUGUAGAGUGUAAAGGUAUAAGGGAGCUUGACUGCGAGAGCUACAACUCGAGCAGGUAGGAAACUAGGGCUUAGUGAUCCGGUGGUACCGCAUGGAAGGGCCAUCGCUCAACGGAUAAAAGCUACCCUGGGGAUAACAGGCUUAUCUCCCCCAAGAGUUCACAUCGACGGGGAGGUUUGGCACCUCGAUGUCGGCUCGUCGCAUCCUGGGGCUGUAGUCGGUCCCAAGGGUUGGGCUGUUCGCCCAUUAAAGCGGCACGCGAGCUGGGUUCAGAACGUCGUGAGACAGUUCGGUCCCUAUCCGUCGCGGGCGUAGGAAAUUUGAGAGGAUCUGCCCUUAGUACGAGAGGACCGGGGUGGACUUACCGCUGGUGUACCAGUUGUUCCGCCAGGAGCACCGCUGGGUAGCUAUGUAGGGAAGGGAUAAGCGCUGAAAGCAUCUAAGUGCGUAGCCCACCUCAAGAUGAGAUUUCCCAUUCUUUAUGAAUUAAGAGCCCUGAGAGAUGAUCAGGUUGAUAGGCUGGAAGUGGAAGUCCUGGCGAGGGAUGGAGCGGACCUAGAACUAAUAGCUCGAGGACUUUACCAA
rnacentral:rRNA from 1 species